rnacentral:rRNA from 1 species
UACGUAGGGUGCAAGCGUUGUCCGGAAUUACUGGGCGUAAAGAGCUCGUAGGCGGUUUGUCGCGUCGUCUGUGAAAACCAGCAGCUCAACUGUUGGCUUGCAGGCGAUACGGGCAGACUUGAGUAUUUCAGGGGAGACUGGAAUUCCUGGUGUAGCGGUGAAAUGCGCAGAUAUCAGGAGGAACACCGGUGGCGAAGGCGGGUCUCUGGGCCAUUACUGACGCUGAGGAGCGAAAGCGUGGGGAGCGAACAGG